rnacentral:misc_RNA from 1 species
GAUGAAGAACGUAGCGAAAUGCGAUAAGUAAUGUGAAUUGCAGAAUUCAGUGAAUCAUCGAAUCUUUGAACGCACCUUGCACCCUUUGGUAUUCCGAAGGGUAUGCUCGUUUGAGUGUCAUUGUACUCUCACACUUCUAAUUCCUUUCGGGAUUGGGAGCGGUGGACUUGGGUGUUGCUGCUUUAGUUGUGGCUCACCUCAAAUAAGUUGGUGCAACUCUUGGUUGGACAUAGUACGGCGUGAUAAGUGUCUUCGCCGGCGCCUCUGUAAGGAGGGUGGCCGAUCGGGAGCUCUGUGCUUCAAACCGUCUUCGGACAAUCUUUGACAACUUGACCUCAAAUCGAGUAGGACUACCCGCUGAACUUAAGCAUAUCAAUAAGCGGAGGA